rnacentral:rRNA from 1 species
GGGGGACGGAGAAGGCUAUGUUGGCCGGGCGACGGUUGUCCCGGUUUAAGCGUGUAGGUGUGUGUUCCAGGUAAAUCCGGUUCACUUUAACACUGAGGCGUGAUGACGAGGCACUACGGUGCUGAAGCAACAAAUGCCCUGCUUCCAGGAAAAGCCUCUAAGCAUCAGGUAACAUCAAAUCGUACCCCAAACCGACACAGGUGGUCAGGUAGAGAAUACCAAGGCGCUUGAGAGAACUCGGGUGAAGGAACUAGGCAAAAUGGUGCCGUAACUUCGGGAGAAGGCACGCUGACACGUAGGUGAAGUGAUUUACUCAUGGAGCUGAAGUCAGUCGAAGAUACCAGCUGGCUGCAACUGUUUAUUAAAAACACAGCACUGUGCAAACACGAAAGUGGACGUAUACGGUGUGACGCCUGCCCGGUGCCGGAAGGUUAAUUGA